rnacentral:rRNA from 1 species
UACGUAGGGGGCGAGCGUUGUCCGGAGUACUGGGCGUAAAGCGCACGCAGGCGGUGCUGCGCGUUUUGGGGUUACAGCUCCCGGCUCAACCGGGAGAGCGCCUCGAAGACGGCAGCACUUGAGGGCCAGAGAGGGACACGGAACUCCGGGUGGAGUGGUGAAAUGCGUAGAUAUCCGGAAGAACACCAAAGGCGAAGGCAGUGUCCUGGCUGGUACCUGACGCUCAGGUGCGAAAGCUAGGGGAGCGAACGGGG